rnacentral:lncRNA from 1 species
AUACAUAACUGGUUUCCACUGCAGCCUUAUGUUGAAAAAUUAAGGCAAUUGAAGGUUUUUGAUUGGAGGGAGGGGACAAGAUUGAGCUUGCUGACAUUUCUUUUGUUGCAAUGUUAUACAGGUCUCGAUUGACUGCAGAAAGGACAAGGGAGGAGCAUGUCAAAGGGAGGUCAGAUCCUGCCAGGGUUUCCUGGCAAAUGAGGUAACACAUUUUCAGGCUUUUGCUUCAAGUGAUGCUUUGACAAAAGGAGAGGAGAAGAGAGUCACUGUGCUUUGUGUUGAGUCCUUCAGGGCUGUUUUCCCACUGAGAAGCUGCACUGACCCUGAGCCAACUCAAAACCAUCAGCACAGGCACUGUGCUCCCAUGAAAGCCCAGCUGCCGCCUCACGUUCUUCUGCUGUCAGACUUGGGGGCAUGGUGUAUGAAAGGGCACUGUGCAACUCUGACAGCCUUGGCUUUCUUUAUAUGCUGUAAGUCUUUCUUAGGCAUUUUUGUGUCCCUCUGUCAGGGAGUCUGUGCUUGCUUGCUGAAACUCAUUCAUCUUGUUUUAAGGGAUGAGUUGUCCUGUCCUGGACCACCAGCAAACAGCUGUGCCUGGCCAAGCCUGCUGCAAGUCUGAGGGAGCAGAGGGGCAGGCACUGAUCUCUUCUCUCUGGUGAGCAGUAAUAGCACUUGAGAGAAUGGCAUGAAGCUGACUCGGGGCAGGAGGGGUAUAGGUUGGUUAUUAGGGAAAAGCUCUUCACACAGAGGGUGUUUUGGUACUGGAAUAGGCUCCCCCAGGAUGUGGUCACAGCACCAAGCCUACCAGAGUUCAGGAAGUGUUUGGAGAAUGCUCUCAGGCAUAUGGAGGGACCCCUGGAGUUGUGCUGUGCAGGGUCAGGAGUUGGACUCAGUGAUCUCUGUGGGUCCCUCAGCUCAGGACAGUUCAUGAUUCUGUAUUUCUAUUGGAAAGCAUUGACCUGGGCAGUCACCUUUAGGGUCCUCUCUACUGCCUUUUGCAGGAUGCACUUCUGGGAUUUACACUAACUCCUGCAGCUUCUUCGUCAACUUCUUCCCCUCAAAAUUGAAUCACAAGGCAUGUAGAGAGCCAAGACUGCAACAGGAUAUGUUGCUUUGGUAGAGAAGCCCAAUGUGGAAAUGAACUGUGCUAUUUUGGGUUAUACCACGAUGGGCUGGCUGGGUUUGGUGACGUUUCUGUCCUGUCAGGGAUUAACCUGAUAGGGAUGGUUAUACAAAAAAUAACAUUCAAAGCAAAUAAAUGUCUCAGAAUUGCAUUUUGGGUGCUAGAA